CGUUUAUUGGUCAUUAAUCGUUAACUAUUUUUACUUUUAUUUUAUUUACUAAAAAAUAAUUACAAUUAUUAUUUUUUAUAAAAUUAUCAAUAAAUUUAAUAAAAUCUCUAAUUUUUUCUGACUAAAAUUCCAUCACUUCAGAAAGUCUAAGGCUUAGUUUGAUAUUGAGACCCGUCUAACGCUAUUAGAUAAAAUAAAGUUUGAAUAAAAGCACAUAGGGAUAUAUUUCUACGUUCUCCGAUGGAACUGCAGAAAAUAUAUCGCUCAUCGCAAUAUGCAGAACACAAUAUUACGUACAAAAACAAAUAGAGCAUUUUUCCAACAUACUUUAUCACCGUACGUAACGCAAUCUUUCCGUAAUCCUAAACGAAGCCUAAAAUAAAAAAUUUAUAUAUUCCAAUUAUAAAGUUAUAUCGAAGUUCACAAUAUUAAAAAUUUACUCUUUAUUAUAUAUUAUAUAUAUUAUUAAAUGCAUUUCGCUAUUGAUAAGGACGGCAUGAUCAACCUAUAUCCAAAAGUUGUAACACAUGGAUUGCGUCCAAUAAGCACCCAAUAGGUGCCCAAUCAGUUUUAUUUUUUCAUAGGCUGAGCUCAUGAUUAUAUGUCAAGUGUCCCUUUCCUUCCUCGUCAAGUAAAUCUCAUCAAUUGAUAAUCUACAACUUAUACUGACAUUAUCGAUCAUAUCUAGUGCAGUUGAAUUAAAACCUAAUUAUUGGUAUCUAAAAUUUUAAAUUUAAAAACUUUAUUUUUUUAGCCGAAUUAAUUUUUAAAAUAUGAACAAAAUAGAUAACGUGUUACUUUUUCUCCGAAAAAAAUAUUCCAGAACUUUAAUA
rnacentral:lncRNA from 1 species